ensembl:ribozyme RNaseP_nuc Nuclear RNase P
GUGGGGAGAAGCUCAUUGAAGAGGUCACUAGCAGAGUGCACUGUCACUCAAUCCUGCACCUUGGGGAAGGUCUGAGAAAAGAGCCACUGAAUGCCCUUGCAGAGCAUCUCCUGACAAAGGAGAGUGAGCGCACAGACACUUGGGCCACAGUGAGUUGCUGUCAUAGGAGAAGUCAGCUUGUGCCAGUUACCAGCACACCUGAUGGAUAUGAUCUCACUGGCUUGGAACCGCUCACGGCUGGCACAUGAGUCCAAUGAGCUCCCAGUGAGCUGGGAUUAACUUCCAGAACCCAAUUCAUAGGUGAAU